rnacentral:rRNA from 1 species
UACGUAGGGUGCGAGCGUUAAUCGGAAUUACUGGGCGUAAAGCGUGCGCAGGCGGUUGUGUAAGACAGAUGUGAAAUCCCCGGGCUCAACCUGGGAACUGCAUUUGUGACUGCACAGCUGGAGUGCGGCAGAGGGGGAUGGAAUUCCGCGUGUAGCAGUGAAAUGCGUAGAUAUGCGGAGGAACACCGAUGGCGAAGGCAAUCCCCUGGGCCUGCACUGGCGCUCAUGCACGAAAGCGUGGGGAGCAAACAGG